GCUGGGUGUGGUGAAGCAUACCUGUAAUCCUUGCUCCUGGGGAGGCAGAAGGCUGGUGGUUUACUUAUGUUUAGGGGUUCUGAGAUGCAGUAAGGUUAAAUCACAUGAGGUAUCUGUAUGAAGUAUGAUACCAAUGUUGGGAGCCACUGUAAGCAAGGGGCUACCAGGCUGCCUAGGAGAGGCUAACUGACCCAGUUCAGAAACAAAGUGGGUCAAAGCUUCUAUGCUGAUCAGUCAUGGAAUUGAGCCCAUGAGUGGCUGCUGCACUUCUAGCCUGGGGAGAUAGGGAGAGUCUAUCUCA
rnacentral:SRP_RNA from 1 species